GACGAACGCUAGCGGCGCGCUUAACACAUGCAAGUCGAGCGGAAAGGCCCUUCGGGGUACUCGAGCGGCGAACGGGUGAGUAACACGUGAGCAACCUGCCCUUGGCUUUGGGAUAACCCCGGGAAACCGGGGCUAAUACCGAAUAUCCACGCACCGCCGCAUGACGGUGCGUGAAAAGUUUUUCGGCUGAGGAUGGGCUCGCGGCCUAUCAGCUUGUUGGUGGGGUAACGGCCUACCAAGGCUUCGACGGGUAGCCGGCCUGAGAGGGCGACCGGCCACACUGGGACUGAGAUACGGCCCAGACUCCUACGGGAGGCAGCAGUGGGGAAUAUUGCACAAUGGGCGCAAGCCUGAUGCAGCGACGCCGCGUGAGGGAAGAAGGCCUUCGGGUUGUAAACCUCUUUCGGCAGGGACGAAGCGAAAGUGACGGUACCUGAAGAAGAAGCGCCGGCCAACUACGUGCCAGCCGCCGCCGUAACAC
rnacentral:rRNA from 1 species